rnacentral:rRNA from 1 species
UGCCAGCAGCCGCGGUAAUACAGAGGUCUCAAGCGUUGUUCGGAAUCACUGGGCGUAAAGGGCGCGUAGGCGGCGGGGUACGGUCCGGGUGAAAUCCCUCGGCUCAACCGAGGAACUGCCCGGGCUACGGCCUCGCUAGACGGCAUCAGGAGAAGGUAGAACUCCCGGUGGAGCGGUGAAAUGCGUAGAUAUCGGGAGGAAUGCCGGUGGUGAAAACGACCUUCUGGGGUGCACGUGACGCUGAGGCGCGAAAGCUAGGGGAGCGAACGGGAUUAGAUA